rfam:Gemmatimonadetes bacterium 13_2_20CM_2_66_5 13_2_20cm_2_scaffold_3412, whole genome shotgun sequence.
CUCGAAAAGGGCAAACCGCCGGUGACGGCGGGGCGCAAAGCAAGGGGUCUCGCGCAGGCGAGAUUGCCCAGCUGCCGAGU